UGUUUAGUCACAAACUAAAUUACUACAACCACGCCAGAAUACUACGAGCAAACGCUUGAAACUUAAAGGACUUGGCGGUGCCCAAAAUCCACCCAGAGGAGCCUGUUCUAUAAUCGACAACCCCCGCUUAACCUCACCACUCUUUGCCUUAACAGUCUAUAUACCUCCGUCUCCAGCUCACCCUACUGAAGGACAACUAAUGAGCAAAAUUAACCAAUUAAAAACGUCAGGUCAAGGUGUAGCAUACAGAGUGGACAAGAAAUGGGCUACAUUUUCUUACUAAGAACACACGGAUAUAUAAUGAAAAAAAUAUUAAAAGGCGGAUUUGGCAGUAAAAAGAAACAAUAGAGUUCUUUUUAAGAUGGCCCUUGGGCGCGC
rnacentral:rRNA from 1 species